ACUGAGCCUACGUCAUCAACCCGAGUUUCUGAAGACCACAGCAUGUUGAAAAAAAGAAAAUGUACUCAUUUUUGGCUGCCACAACUAUAUAUUCUUUUUAAAAGUAAAUAUGUAUUUAGUUAGAUUAAGAAUUAGAAACAACUCAUUAUAAGAAAAUGUGGACCUAUAACAUGUUUUUAAUUUUAAUACUAUAGUCACUAAAAUGUGAAAUUCAUGAGACUCAAAUAUCCAGGUGAAAAGAAACCAGCCAUCUGAAUGAUUUUGUCUGUAUAAUACUUACAUCUAGAUAGACCCAGAUGACUGAUAACAUUCACAAUUUUCUGUGGAAUAUUGAAUUUUUUUGCUAAUCAUGUUUCUUUAGAAUUGUUUUUAAUUAUGUGCUUAUGAUUGAGAGUACAAAAUUUCAAAAGCAUAUGAAAAUUAACAUUGGCCAGCCACGUGUUGUGGCUCACUUGUGUUAUCUCGGCACUUUGGGAGACUGAGGUGAGAGGAUUGCGUGAGCCCAGAAGUUCAAGACCAGCCUGGGCAACAUAGCAAGACUCUG
rnacentral:lncRNA from 10 species